AUUGAACGCUGGCGGCAGGCCUAACACCUGCAAGUCGAGCGAUCGGCGGACGGGUGAGUAUUGUCUGGGCAACUGCCUGUUGGAGAGGGAGAACUACGGGAACCGGUAGCUAAUACCGCAUACCAUCAGAUGUGCCCAGAUGGGCUUAGCUAGGAGGUGGGGUAACGGCUCACCUAGGCGACGAUCCCUAGCUGUUCUUAGAGGCUGACCAGCAACACUGGAACUGAGACACGGUCCAGACUCCUACGGGAGGCAGCAGUGGGGAAUAUUGCACAAUGGGCGCAAGCCUGAUGCAGCCAUGCCGCGUGUGUGAAGAAGGCCUUCGGGUUGUAAAGCACUUUCAGCGGGGAGGCGUUACCCGCAGAAGAAGCACCGGCUAACUCCGUGCCAGCAGCCGCGGUAAUUC
rnacentral:rRNA from 1 species